rnacentral:rRNA from 1 species
UUGAACGCUGGCGGCAGGCCUAACACAUGCAAGUCGAGCGGUAGCACAGAGAAGCUUGCUUCUUGGGUGACAAGCGGCGGACGGGUGAGUAACGCGUAGGAAUCUACCUAAUAGUGGGGGAGUAGCCCAGGGAAACUUGGAUUAAUACCGCAUACGCCCUACGGGGAAAGCGGGGGGGGGAUCUUCGGACCUCGUGCUAUUAGAUGAGCCUGCGUAAGAUUAGCUAGUUGGUGAGGUAAAGGCUCACCAAGGCGACGAUCUUUAGCUGGUCUGAGAGGAUGAUCAGCCACACUGGGACUGAGACACGGCCCAGACUCCUACGGGAGGCAGCAGUGGGGAAUAUUGGACAAUGGGGGCAACCCUGAUCCAGCCAUGCCGCGUGUGUGAAGAAGGCCUUCGGGUUGUAAAGCACUUUCAGAUGUGAGGAAAGGUUGCAGAUUAAUACUCUGCAGCUGUGACGUUAACAUCAGAAGAAGGACCGGCUAGCUCCGUG